rnacentral:rRNA from 1 species
AUUGAACGCUGGCGGCAUGCCUUACACAUGCAAGUCGAACGGCAGCACGGGAGCAAUCCUGGUGGCGAGUGGCGAACGGGUGAGUAAAGUAUCGGAACGUGCCCAGUCGUGGGGGAUAACGUAGCGAAAGUUACGCUAAUACCGCAUACGAUCUAUGGAUGAAAGCGGGGGACCGCAAGACCUCGCGCGAUUGGAGCGGCCGAUAGCAGAUUAGGUACUUGGUGGGGUAAAGGCUCACCAAGCCGACGAUCUGUAGCUGGUCUGAGAGGACGACCAGCCACACUGGGACUGAGACACGGCCCAGACUCCUACGGGAGGCAGCGGUGGGGAAUUUUGGACAAUGGGCGAAAGCCUGAUCCAGCCAUGCCGCGUGCAGGAUGAAGGCCUUCGGGUUGUAAACUGCUUUUGUACGGAACGAAAAGGUUUGGGCUAAUAAGCUGAGCUCAUGACGGUACCGUAAGAAUAAGCACCGGCUAACUACGUGCCAGCCGCCGCAGUAA